GUCCAGCUGACGAGUCCUAAAUAGGACGAAACGCACAUCCUAGAU
rfam:Schistosoma curassoni strain Dakar, Senegal genome assembly, scaffold: SCTD_scaffold0000262